GCUGGGCGCGGUGGCGUGUGCAUAUAGUCUCAGCUACUUGGGAGGCUGAGGCUGGAAGAUUGCUUGAGUCCAGGAGUUCUGGGCCGUAGCGCGCUAUGCCGAUUGGGUGUCUGUACUGUUCAGCAUCAAUAUGGUGACCUCCCGGGAGCGGGGGGACCACCAGGUUGCCUAAGGAGGGGUGCACUGGCCCAGGUCUGAAAUGGAGCAGGUCAAAACUCCAGUGCUGAUCAGUAGUGGGAUUGAUUGCACCUGUGAAUAGCCACUGCACUCUAGCCUGGGCAACAUAGCAAGACCCUGUCUCUU
ensembl:misc_RNA Metazoa_SRP Metazoan signal recognition particle RNA